rnacentral:rRNA from 1 species
AUGGCGCCAAUUAAUCUUAGACGUCAGCGAACAUUUGCAAACUUCACAAAAAACCCAGUUGAGCCUAGAUUCAUAGACUUCGACGACAUCGAAUAUUCUGAUACAUUCAGAACUUGUAGCAUCUGCGUGAGGGUAGAUGUCAAAUUCCCGGUUAAUCCGAGUGGUGAUAAGCUUCACUUCAUUCUUAUGGACAAAACUGGUGCCAAAAUCGAGGCUAUAGUUGCCGGAAAAGAUUUAGUGAAUAGAUUCAAUAUUACAUUGCACAUGGGUCGUAAGUACAUCAUUCAUGGUGUUACUAUGCGGCCUAACUUUGAAGAACUGGAGUGUAGAUACAUUCAACACACAUAUGAGUGUUCCUUCAACGCAAGGACAUUUGUUGAGUCUCUCUCACUUCAAUUUCCAACAUAUCCCAAGCAUUUGAUGCCGUUCCAAGAAGUUCAGAGGUGUCCAAGAAACACUUUCGUAGACAUAAUUGGCAUAGUCGUUCAUUAUGAUGGACAUGAACGCAUUGGGGGAUACCCAGGUGCUGAAAUACAUAGAGAGGUCACCUUCAUGGAUAUGUGGGGCAAACUUAUAGUUUUUGGGAUUUGGGGUGGCAACUUGAUUCAGAACUCAUAUAGGUGGUCAACAACUGAAGGCAAUAAAUCUAUUGUCCUUGCCACUAUGCUUCGUAAGGAUUGCAAAUACGGAAAUCUGGAAACUUCAAAUUACACCACCCUUGCAUUCAACCCGGAUCAUACUGCAGCACGCGCACUUGAUGAUAUUCGCCAGAAAAUAAUAGGUGGGUUGAUUGAUAUGAAGUUUGUUCAGCAAUUUAUUGAGUGGAGGUGGGCUUUCCUAGCAAGCGAGUUGUCUACAAAGGAUCCCCGACACAGGAUGUAUACAAAGAAAGCUCGGCGCAUGUAG